GACGAACGCUGGCGGCGUGCUUAACACAUGCAAGUCGAACGGAAAGGCCCUGCUUUUGUGGGGUGCUCGAGUGGCGAACGGGUGAGUAACACGUGAGUAACCUGCCCUUGACUUUGGGAUAACUUCAGGAAACUGGGGCUAAUACCGGAUAGGAGCUCCUGCUGCAUGGAGGGGGUUGGAAAGCUUCGGCGGUUGGGGAUGGACUCGCGGCUUAUCUGCUUGUUGGUGGGGGAGGGGCUUACCAAGGCUUUGACGGGUAGCCGGCCUGAGAGGGUUACCGGCCACAUUGGGACUGGGCUGCGGCCCAGACUACUACGGGAGGCAGCGGUGGGGAAUAUUGCACUAUGGGCGGAAGCCUGAUGCAGCGACGCCGCGUGCGGGAUGACGGCCUUCGGGUUGUAAACCGCUUUCGCCUGUGACGAAGCGUGAGUGACGGUAAUGGGUAAAGAAGCACCGGCUAACUACGUG
rnacentral:rRNA from 1 species